rnacentral:rRNA from 1 species
CCCUUAGAUGUCCUGGGCCGCACGCGCGCUACACUGAUGCAUUCAACGAGUAUUUCCUUGGCCGAGAGGCCUGGGCAAUCUUUUAAACCUGCAUCGUGAUAGGGAUAGAUUAUUGCAAUUAUUAAUCUUGAACGAGGAAUUCCUAGUAAACGCAAAUCAUCAAUUUGCAUUGAUUACGUCCCUGCCCUUUGUACACAUCGCCCGUCGCACCUACCGAUUGAAUGGUCCGGUGAAAUCUCGGGAUUGUGGCCAGUUCACUUUAUUGGGAGUUGGCUGCGAGAACUUGCUUAAACCUUAUCAUUUAGAGGAAGGUGAAGUCGUAACA